AUGUCGUGAUGAUGGCACUUUCGUAAUAACUCCUUGAACCAUUCCCAUGCAUCAUACAAAGAUUAUUCAUCAAGUUGCUUAAAUAAAGUGAUUUCAUUUUGGAUCUU
rfam:Gossypium arboreum cultivar AKA8401 contig_12010_1, whole genome shotgun sequence.